UACGUAGGGCGCAAGCGUUGUCCGGAAUUAUUGGGCGUAAAGAGCUCGUAGGCGGUUUGUCGCGUCUGCUGUGAAAACCUAAGGCUCAACCUUGGGCUUGCAGUGGGUACGGGCAGACUAGAGUGCGGUAGGGGUGACUGGAAUUCCUGGUGUAGCGGUGGAAUGCGCAGAUAUCAGGAGGAACACCGAUGGCGAAGGCAGGUCACUGGGCCGCAACUGACGCUGAGGCACGAAAGCGUGGGUAGCAAACAGG
rnacentral:rRNA from 1 species